rnacentral:rRNA from 1 species
UGGGGAAUCUUGGACAAUGGGGGCAACCCUGAUCCAGCCAUGCCGCGUGAGUGAUGAAGGCCUUAGGGUCGUAAAGCUCUUUCGCCUGUGAAGAUAAUGACGGUAGCAGGUAAAGAAACCCCGGCUAACUCCGUGCCAGCAGCCGCGGUAAUACGGAGGGGGUUAGCGUUGUUCGGAAUUACUGGGCGUAAAGCGCACGUAGGCGGACCAGAAAGUUGGGGGUGAAAUCCCGGGGGCUCAACCCCGGAACUGCCUCCAAAACUAUUGGUCUAGAGUUCGAGAGAGGUGAGUGGAAUUCCAAGUGUAGAGGUGAAAUUCGUAGAUAUUUGGAGGAACACCAGUGGCGAAGGCGGCUCACUGGCUCGAUACUGACGCUGAGGUGCGAAAGUGUGGGGAGCAAACAGGAUUAGAUACCCUGGUAGUCCACACCGUAAACGAUGAAUGCCAGUCGUCGGGUAGCAUGCUAUUCGGUGACACACCUAACGGAUUAAGCAUUCCG